UACGUAGGUGACAAGCGUUAUCCGGAAUUACUGGGCGUAAAGCGCACGCAAGCGGUUGAUCAAGUCUGACGUGAAAUCUUCUGGCUUAACCAGGAGCGGUCGUUGGAAACUGAUUGGCUUGAGGCGAUGAGAGGGGUGCAGAAUUCUAGGUGUAGUGGUGGAAUGCGUAGAUAUCUAGAGGAAUACCUGUGGCGAAAGCGGCACCCUGGCAUCGGCCUGACGCUCAUGUGCGAAAGCGUGGGGAGCGAACGGG
rnacentral:rRNA from 1 species